CAAGAGCAGGCUGAAGAGACACUCUCCUUGCUCUUUUUAGAAAUGAACGUCUUUCUGUUUCUGAGAGAAAAGGGAAGGCAGAAACACAUGAGGAAAACAAGGGACCAAGCCUGAGGAGCAUCAACAACUCUUUUCCCGAGACCCACAGAAAGCUCCUGUUUUCCUGCCAUGAUACACUUCCACAAGCAUAUUGUGAAGAUCAGACUUUGAUAGAUCUGGCUGCGACUGCAAUAACUGCUAUGUCCAUAUAUGGUAUAAGCUAAUCUGCUGAAUGCUAUGUCAUAAUAUGUUAUGUUUAUAUUCACAGCAGUUUUUAUUAUACUUUUACUCUUUUACACUACCUGUUAUAGUAUAUCUGACACUUUCACACUAGAACUGUGUAUUGGUCGGUGCUACACUGUCAUUUACUGUGCCCAUUGUCAUGUUUUAAUAUUUACUGUACUGUCUUCUGGUGUUUGCAUGUGCACUUUAUAUAGAAUGUGUAGGUCUUAUUUGGUUCGGUGUCUCAUGUGGUUAGUGUCGUGUUUUAUGUAGCACCGUGGUCCUGGAGGAACGUUGUUUCGUUUCACUGUGUACUGUACCAGCUGUAUAUGGUUGAAAUAACAAUAAAGCCAUUGAUUUGACUUGA